AUAAUUAGUUUUGCUUAACCAGGAUAUUUCAUGGAACUUGUCUUUCAGUGGGGAAAUCAACCUCCAUAAUUAAAUUGGCCAUGUUUUAACAAUUUUUUACUACCAUGAUUUCUAUUGUUAGAUGCCUCAUUUUAAUAUCAGACUGACUUUCUAGUGCUAUAAGAAGGGUUAACCAUAUUCUGUUUAUAUGCAUUUGUGCAUUAAGGAUUCCCUCUUCUGCAGCCAACUUGAGAUCUAAAUAACAAUAAGAAUGUCAUUCUGAUAGUG
rnacentral:misc_RNA from 1 species